AAAUAUCUUGUAAUUGUUUGGU
rnacentral:miRNA from 1 species